rnacentral:rRNA from 1 species
UUACAAGUACCCUGAGGGAAAGUUGAAAAGUACUUUGAAGAGAGAGUUCAAGAGGACGUGAAACCGGUAGGAUGGAAACGGAUAGAGCCAACGAACAAGCCCGUAUUCAGCUAGUCGGCUGCGUGCGGCAUGCCUGUGUGCUCGUUCAGGGUGCAUGGGUGUGUGCGGUAUGCGGUCGGCUAGUGCAUUUGCGGGUGAUGUGCGCUGAGGCGUGUGGCGGAGUCCUGCAAACUGUCUGGAGAGGCCUCGCCUUCGGGCUUGAAACCUACAGGCGGGGAGUCGGGUUUCUGCUGCAUGUAGACGAAGCGGCUAGGUGCAAACGCGCUGUCGUGCUGCCGGGCUAGCUGCUUGGCCGGUCGCAUGCGACUAGGUCUUGUUGGUUGGUCUUGGUGGUACGGCAGUGCCCUGGUCGACCCUCGGUGUAAAAGUUGGUCAUCUCUCCGACCCGUCUUGAAACACGGACCAAGGAGUCUAGCGUAUGCGCGAGUCAUUGGGUGGAAAACCCAUAGGCGAAAUGAAAGUGAAGGUCUCUUCAUGAGGCUGAUAUGCGAUCCGUUGCACUACGGUGUACGCGGAGCAGCAUAGCCCCGUCUCGACUGCUUGCAGUGGGGCGGAGGUAGAGCGUAUACGCUGGUACCCGAAAGAUGGUGAACUAUGCCUGAGCAGGAUGAAGCCAGAGGAAACUCUGGUGGAGGUCCGAAGCGCUUCUGACGUGCAAAUCGAUCGUCUGACUUGGGUAUAGGGGCGAAAGACUAAUCGAACCAUCUAGUAGCUGGUUCCCUUCCA